UUUUUAUACGGAGAGUUUGAUUCUGGCUCAGAACGAACGCUGGCGGCGUGGAUAAGACAUGCAAGUUGAGCGAUGAACUGACGAUAGCAAUAUUUGACGGGAUUAGCAGCGAACGGGUGAGUAACACGUAGGAAUCUGCCCCAAAGUUCGGAAUAGCCUGGCGAAAGUCAGGGUAAUACCGGAUGUGAUCUUCGGAUUAAAGGCUUCGGUCGCUUUGGGAUGAGCCUGCGUUCCAUCAGCUUGUUGGUAGGGUAAAAGCCUACCAAGGCGAAGACGGAUAGCUGGUCUGAGAGGACGGUCAGCCACACUGGAACUGAGACACGGUCCAUACACCUACGGGUGGCAGCAGUCGAGAAUCAUUCGCAAUGGACGAAAGUCUGACGGUGCGACGCCGCGUGGGGGAUGAAGGCCUUAGGGUCGUAAACCCCUGUCGGGUGCGAGUAAGGGUAUACAUUACGGCAUACUUAGAUAUUAGCACCAAAGGAAGGGACGGCUAACUCCGUGCCAGCAGCCGCGGUAAUACGGAGGUCCCAAGCGUUGUUCGGAUU
rnacentral:rRNA from 1 species